AGAUAUCAUACAGACUUUAUAUAUAUUUAUAUAUCAUCAUCAUCAUCAUAUAGACUUUAUAGGACAUAACUCUGAACAGAUCAGAGGAGAUUACAGGAUCCUUUCCAGGUCAUUAGAGCGAGGAGCUGUCUUAUUACACGUGAUCAGAGGAAAGUAGACUGAACCGACACGGCAGACACGUCUAAAUGACUGCAGAGAGAGUGACUGAAAGAGGACAGCAGGUCUUCGGGUCCAGGUUUGACUCUUUUACUCUCCCUUCAGUCCUUCUCUGGACUCAGACUUUAUCAUAUAGGAGUCAGAGGAUGUUAGCAGAAUAUUCCCAGAUUAGGUUGAUUCUGCUCAGAUCUGGACUCACCGAUCUUCAGAUAAAUACAUGUAACACCGUGAUAUUCAUGUUAGAACCAUGACUGUAGGUAAUGUCUGCUCUGAAAGCCCAGAUUUACGAUUAAAGGUUCCUACUCCAGUAGCUUUAAAAGGUUUGAAUGAAUGUGAAUAUUUCAGUGUUGACAUUGAAACGCUGUAUAAAAACACUGGAGUUCAUUGUCCAUAAUGUGUAGACUUCUUAUUAUCAAUUUAAUUUAUAAAAUAAACGAAAUAAAUCCCUUAAUACUUUGAAAAGUCAGAGAACCAUCAUCUUGACCAGGUGGUGGCGCUCUCUGUGGCCCAAAAGGUCUCACCGUUCUGGGAAGCAGCUCUGGCGAAUGACUCGGCCUUCGCUCUGGAGCCUCCGGCUAGCGAGCCCGUCACAGCGCCAGCUUGUUUCUGAAUCGAUCGGUGGUUAAAAUAAAGUUUCUAAGGUGAAGUAAAUUUGCACUUCGGAUCGGGUAGGUAACGACUCACCGCCGUAAAACAAACUGAAAUGCCGAGAGAGGAAGUGACGCACGUUUCCCACAUAUGCAGUAAAAAUCAGCGACACUCCUGUAAGCGCCUCAUUAAGCUAACCGACAACCAUUGAUAGUUGGGUCGAUACUAGAACAGCGCAGCUUUUGGUAGCACCUGUAGUUACCAUGGUUACCGUAGCUAGCAACCAAAAAAAGUGAGAGUGGGACCAUUUCAGGGAUUUAUACAGCCUGUCAGGUGAUUGUAGAGGUAUCUGUAAACCCACAUAAAGGGGAGGGGGGGGUCUUAGUUGUAUUCAUCAGGGUCUGUGUGUCAAAGUAAAAACCCUGAAAACGGCGAGCAGAGAGGACGGCGUGCAGAGAGAGGCAGCGGGGGAGUCUGAUAAUGAAAACCAGACAGCGGGGGAAUCAGGGGAUAAAAAAACCUGUUGAGGGCAAACACAGAGGGGGAUCAGAUAACAGAGAGAGCAGGAACAAGAGAUCACGCUCAACAUGACACACACACACACACACACACACACACACACCUCAGAAACCAGCUGACGGUUUAACAACGAUGGCUCUAAAACUUUGGGUUUGUUCUCCCUCUCCUCUUCUUCUCUUUCAUUGUUGCUGAAAUCUUUCUUACCUUCACCUGCUGUAGAAGAAGCAGAAAGCCUCUCUCUCUCUCUCUCUCUCUCUCUCUCUCUCUCUCUCUCUCUCUCUCUCUCUGUCUCUCUGUCUCUCUCUCUCUCUCUCUCUCUCUCUCUCUCUCUCUCUCUCUCUCUCUCUCUCUCUCUCUCUCUCUCUCUCUCUCUCUCUCUCUCUCUCUCUCUCUCUCUCUCUCUCUCUCUCUCUCUCUCUCUCUCUCUCUCUCUCUCUCUCUCUCUCUCUCUCUGUCUCUCUCUCUCUCUCUCUCCGUGUUGUUGCGAAGAUUACUUGUUGAGGCGUCUCAGAGGUUUGAUAAAAUCUCUUGGCAGCCGUGAGCGAAACUGGGCCACAAUGGGAGAUGUGAGGAAAGCAAUUUGUUUCAUUUCAAAGAGGAGUGUGUGCUUUUCACCGAAAUGUGCAAAAUGGGAGAGUAAUGAAAAGUGUUUGGAGGGUUUGUCGGGCUGUAGACCUCGAGGUAAUGUUUUAAAAGAAACCUAGAAACUCCUGAUUGAGGAGAGAAAGACGCAGAAUGAUCUCAGUCCACGAAUAAAGGAGCUCGAUGAUCCUCCUGCUCUUUUCAGGAGGUCUGAGAUGGACAGGUGGAUCAGCGUUCAGAUCCCUGAGGUCAGGAGGGAGCGGAUUCACAAAGUAAGGUCCUGAGCUCUGAGAUAAGAUCACAGAUAUCUGCGCUCCAGAUAAAAUACCUUCAGAGCGACCGGGCUGGACCUCAGGGAGCCGGGUCAGAGCUUAAAAGAGCCGGUCUCAGUGACAGCAGGAUCUGAUCUUAUAGACCGUCCACGGUGGACCACCGUUUAGAGACAAACCCCUGUCAGAGGACGUCUAAGAGAGGUGGACCGACUCAAAUCCACGUUUAUCAUCAACAUCCUGAAGACUUUUUACCCCCCGAUAAAAAAGUCAAAUUUAAAAAAGUUUUAUUGAUCCAACGUUGAAAAAAUCUGCAGCUGAGAAAACUGAGAAACACUCAUACAGAUAAUAUUUUAACUCUGGUUGAAUAUUUGACAAACUUUAACACCCAAACACAGGAGGAAGUCUGUUUCUAUGGUAACGACGUGGUUCAGAAAGUUUAAACUCAUAAAUAUGAUGAAACAAUGAACGAAACAUGAACUACUCUUGUAGCGACUCUGAAGACCAACCUUGUCGCUUGAGAGGAAGUUGUGGGUCAAGUGUCACGAUAUCCAUAGACUCAGGACUCCUUUGGAAAUACAGCAGGAACAAACAAAACGGCAAACGAACGCCAAGAGAUUCUCUGUGAGGCGGUCAACAAAAAUUAUAGGGAUUCAAACAUAAAGUGAUUAAUAUUUAAGUUUGCCAGGUUUUGCCAUAAUCAGGUAGCUUUAAAACAAAUGCUUGGUGAUAAAAAUUCAGAAUUUAUAUACAUAUUUAUUGAUCAUAUUCGGCUAUUCGGUAUUCGGUUAUUCGGCCAAGUGUUUCUUAUAUUCGGUAUUCGGUUUCGGCCAAGAUUUUCCCAUUCGGUCCAUCCCUAAAAAAUUAGGACCACUCCGCUCCCCUCUCUCCCCCUGACUGCAGGUUAGCCACGUCUUUUCAGAGCGAGGGUGGGUUUAUUCUGCAGUAACCCCCAACCUCCACCUUCAUCCUGAUCAUCUCCUAAAAGGUCGUAUCCUCCGAUCGUAGCUGAUCGUAAACAUUCAAGUUAACGUGUCAAUUUACACCGACUUCUUUCGGGCACAGACACAAAUUCAGCACAGAUUAACCCGUGCUGGAAAGGAAGUCAGGAUCGUAUUUCACACCAUGCAAACGGGCGGAGACGAACAAGUGAAAGGUUUUUAGACGUCAUUUCACCCCGAUGACACCAUGGAUGAGGAGAUGCUGAUUCUAGAAGUCUAGAAGUAGAUUUCCUCCUCUGGAAGGACACAAUCUACUGCUUAUAUGUCUAUGUGUCUGUCUCUAUAGAGAUAACUCGUUAUCACGUGAUUGAACGUGAAUCCGCGGGUUCUUGUGAGUUCUAGCGAUUCCGGCUGUUCGUAAUCCGCCACGAAAUUUGCCUCACAAACGGAUGCGGCAGGAAUCGCGGACUUGCCGCUGUUCCAGAUGCGGUGAGUUCCAGAGUAACGUGUUUUUUUGUCCCCUCACCUUUAAAAUCAAAGACCUGUUUUCUCCGUUUCCCGUCCAAAGUCUGAAUAUUCAUGACCAAACUGAGGAAACAUUGACUCUGGAUUUGUCCGUGAAUCUGUUUGAUAAAUACGAUCACAAACCGAGGCGUUUUGUUUGCGUUUGCUCACGGCGGCGUCCUCUCUGAUCGUGUUUUUGGUUAAUAAUGAAGAAAGGCGCUCGCUGCUCGAGUUGACAAACACGGAUUAUUAUGUUUUUCUUCUGUUUCGACCAAGUUUGACGUGUUUUUUCAGAGACGAUCUCUGCAGCGGUAAAAUCAGCGUUGAGGGUCAGAGCUGCAGGUUGUAGUCUGAGGAGUUCACAGACGUGUUAAAGGUUCUGAAACAUCAGUGUAGUCGGCGCUCAUAUUCAUGUAAACGAGCAGAUGGAGCGAGCUGCUGAUGGACGCUCUCCAGCUCUGUUUAUAUUCGGAGCAGCAGCUGCAGACGGCUGGAGGCCUGCUGCUCCACCCACCGACCGACCCACCGACCCACCGAACGAACGACCAACCAGCCGGCCAGAAAAAGACGCUCAGAGUUUCUGAGAGAGCAGAGAUCGAGCUGAAACAGGAGAAGAGGGGAGAAACCGUAGAGUGCUGCAUUAUGGGAAAUGAAGUCUGUUUGUUUCUUAUUUAUAAGGACAGAGAAAAGCUGCAGCAGUCAGGAAACAGGAGGCGUGUAAUUCCUGUUCUUUUGUUCCCUCAGUGCGAUCUGGCAGGCAUCAACCUCCUGCUCAGGUGCUCACACACACACACACACACACACACACACACACACACACACACACACACACACACACACACACACACACACACACACACACACACACACACUCUCUCUCUCUCUCUCUCUCUCUCUCUCUCUCUCUCUCUCUCUCUCUCUCUCUGCUCACUUUGUCUAAGUUCACCGCCUCACAGCAGACCGAACAUAAAACCCAAAAAAGGUCAAAGGUCACUGAUUUUAGGUUUAAUGGAGUAAAUUCAGACAAAAUUCCAUCACUAUAUCAGCUUCCUCCCUCCUCUAAGAUGGCGGUGCCAACGGUGGACCCAGUCCACUCAGGAUUCCCCCCCUGAUUUAACCCUUGGCUCAUGCUGAGGAAGUUAGAGCGGGUCUGUUUGGACUCAGCGGGGCGAGGAAACCAUGUGGGUCUCUGUAAUCAGGAUUCUGGGUCUGAACUGCUGCAGGAACAAUCAUGAUGUGAAGAUCUGCCUUCAGCAGCAGACGAGACCAAAGGACACAGCCUUUAUUUAUUUAUCUAUUUAUUUAUUUAUCGGAGGAUUUAUAGUUUUUUUUACAGCAUGUGGGAAAUAAAAAAGAGAGUUAAUGUUUAUUAUUAUUAUUUUAUUAUAAUUACUAUUAUUAUUAUUAUUUUUUUUUUUUAAUAUUAUUAUUGUUAUUGUUUUUAUUAUCAUUAUCAUAAUUAUCAUAACCAUUAUGAUGAUAAUGAUGAUGAUGAUUAUAAUAAUAAUAAUUAUUAUUAUUAUUAUUAUUAUUAUUAUUAUUAUUUAUCCUUUAAUUUUAUUAUUAUUAUUAUUAUUAUUAUUAUUAUUAUUUAUCUUUAAUUGUUAUUAUUUUAUUAUUAUUAUUAUUAUUAUUAUUAUUAUUAUUAAAUUGUUAUUAUUUUUAUUAUUAUAAUCCAAUGUGCACUGUUUAUUCCCACCAUAGCGAUGAAAACUCACACACUCUGGGGAGUCUGUAGGAGUGAGUCUGUAGGAGCGGGUCUGUGGGCUCUUGUGAGUCUGUGGGCUCUUGUGAGUCUGUGGGCUCUUGUGUUCAGCAGCAGCAGCAGCAGGUAUAGAGCUACACUAACUAGAUCCUGUCAGACUCUGAGACGUGCUGCAGAGUGACGUGUUAAAUCUGCCGUGAAGAAAACGCUCUGACAGACAGUCAACACUGACACACACACACACACACACACACACACACACACACACACAUGUUUAUAUGUAUGACUGUUGGUUAAACAGACGGACUCUGAAAAACACUCAGACAGGAUUUCAGUCACGACAGCGGAGUGACACACAUGGAGCGGAAUAGUCUCUGAGUUUGUGGACAAAAACCUGGUCCAGGUUUUUUUAGCGGGUUUAGAGACGAGGCGGCGCUCCUGAUCUGAACUGAUACCAACAGAAAAUCAAACAAGUUUCUUCUCCAGAGAGAGACAAACACAAAUCUGUCAGAGUUUUUCUUAUUAGUGCUGAAAUCUAAAGUCUUAUUAAAACACUAAUCCUCAUUAUUCUUAUAAUUAUCAUAUUCUCGUUUUUCUUAUUAUUCUUAUUAUCCUCACUAUUCAUCAUAAUUCUUCAUUAUUUUAAUUAUUCUCAUAAUUCUCAUUAAUCUCGUUAUAAUCUGUCAAUCCUUCAGACUCACAUGAUCCAAAUCAAACCUCCUCCAGACCCGAACAG